rnacentral:rRNA from 1 species
AAUCAACGCUGGCGGCGUGCCUCAGACAUGCAAGUCGAACGAUUAAGACUCCCUUCGGGGAGUGUAUAAAGUGGCGCACGGGUGAGUAACAGGUAAGUAAUCUACCUUCGAGUGGGGAAUAACGUCCGGAAACGGACGCUAAUACCGCAUAAUGCAGCGGCAUCUAAUGAUGACAGUUGUUAAAGAUUUAUCGCUUGAAGAGGAGCUUGCGGCAGAUUAGCAGUUGGUAAGGUAAUGGCUUACCAAGGCUACGAUCUGUAACCGGUCUAAGAGGACGGUCGGUCACACUGACACUGAAUAACGGGUCAGACUCCUACGGGAGGCAGCAGUCGGGAAUUUUGGGCAAUGGGCGAAAGCCUGACCCAGCAACGCCGCGUGAAGGAUGAAGUAUUUCGGUAUGUAAACUUCGAAAGAAUGGGAAGAAUAAAUGACGGUACCAUUUAUAAGCUCCGGCUAACUACGUGCCAGCCGCCGCGGUAA